UACGGAGGGUGCAAGCGUUAAUCGGAAUUACUGGGCGUAAAGGGUGCGUAGGUGGUUAGGUAAGUUAGAUGUGAAAUUCCAGGGCUUAACCUUGGGACGGCGUUUAAAACUGCCUAGCUAGAGUACUGUAGAGGGAAGUGGAAUUUCCGGUGUAGCGGUGAAAUGCGUAGAUAUCGGAAGGAACGCCAGUGGCGAAAGCGAAUCUCUGGGCAGCAGCUGACGCUGAGGCACGAAGGCCAGGGGAGCAAACGGG
rnacentral:rRNA from 1 species